AGUGUGAGCUAAUUUUAAAUGCUAAUGUGUGCUACUUCAUCAUGAAUAUAAAAUUGCAGUUAGGUCCUCUUUAAGCUGGAUUGGGCUUGGGCUGACCCUCUGGUUGGAAUUGAUCAGGUCAAGUAUGGUUACCUGAUUUGGCAAUUCUGCUUCUAUCCUUGUGCUUCUCUGUUGGAAUGUAACUCUUUAGAGAUUGUUGAAGCCAUGCUGCAUAAGAUGAUCUGUGCCAUGUCGAAUGUGUUCAUUGGGUCAUCGGGCUCGACAUUCACUGAGGAUAUAUUCCGCCUCCGGAAGGACUGGGGAUCAGCUUCGGUUUGCGAUGAGUAUAUGUGCCAAGGUGAGCAACCUAAUUUCAUAGCUGACUAGGAAUGAAGAAGAGUGUUGAUCAUGUUUUUGGUUCUGGACCAUGGUGAGAAGAUUGAGCUUCUGGUAGACAAAAUAGAGAACCUCCGCUCACAGGUGGUGAACCUCAAUAUCAUUGAGGGCCUGAACCUGCUGAAGGACUCCGAAAUACUGGUGCUAAUGCCUUUUACUGUUACAUAGCUCACCAAAGAUCGACAAAAGAAACCAAUCCCUUGGAAACAAUGGCAAUCAUUGGCAACAAGGAGAUCAUUGACAUUAACCAAGGUAUGUUAGCUGCUUAGACUGGUG